GCCAGCAAGACCCUUCAUCACUGGUUAUUAUCUCAGGGAAGGAAAGUCGUAGAAGAAAGUAGUGGCUGCUGAAUUGGACAGUCAAAUCCAAAGUCUUGCUCUGGAAGCGCUGCUGGGAGCAAACAGCACCAGCUUGAGAAAGGAUGAACUCUUCAGCUCCCACUUCAGACUUACCAUCCAGAAUCUGCACUUGGUCAAGAUUCUCCAGGGGAUUUGUGUCUCUGCUGAAGAGGAAUUUUAAAGGACGCUCCAACCCCCACCUGGCCCCAACCUCCCACUCUGUACAGACGAGAGGUAUAAACAUGGCAAGAUCUGAGGCUUCUGAGUGAAAGAACUGGGAUCCCUUCAUUAGCAAAACAGCAAAACCUUUGUUGCCCGAGCUUGGAGCUUGGAGAGGAGAGAUCACUGCGCCAGUGGAGCACUCCAAAGUGCACAGCACAACGUGGGCUUGGGAUAAGACAUUAAGCGCAUCCCAUCUGUUCAGCAAGUGCAGUCCGUGAGCUCCUACUGGGGGCCACAAAGAGGGCCGAACCACAGUCUGGGGCCCAGAAGCUUAAGAACAAUCACAGCAUCUCCUGGGGUCAGGGAGUGCCAAGCAGAAGUGUGGAAGCCCUCUGAUGGGGGCGUAGGUUGCAGCUGUUUUCACAGAAAGACAGGAGAAGUGGGGUGAACCCUGCCCCUGGCCUGAGUCUGAAGACUGAGAAGAAGCCAGAGCACUCCAUUCUGGAGUCGGUGUGUGUGGUUUUGGGCUCAGAGCUGGGGGGAUGGGGUCAUGGAACCAAAUAUUUCUGUAGGGAGGAUUGAUAGAACAGAAUGGAGGAGUGAAGGGGCUCAAGAAGGGAAUAAAGAAACCAGGUGAUGGGAAUGGAUGGGGAAAGGCAACGUACUCAGCAGGGGAGGUCCAUAUAGGGACCCAAAGGGCCUUAGGAGUAUCUUGAUAGGAAACCUAGGGGGCCUAGGAAGUGAGACUUCUAUCCCAGUGUGGUGUGAGUGGCUGGUGUCGGGGGACAAAGUGCCCGGUUGGCUAUGGAGUUAGCACACAUCUCCAUCCACGGAGAACUGUUCAGACCUUCACUAGGGACCAGGGGGUGUUCAUUUCAGGGAAAAGUGUGUGAGGGGGGCUGCAAGUCAAGUCCCUGGAAAUUGGACCAGUUUCUGAAAGUGAAUUGGUCAAAAUAAUAUUGAUAACGGCAAAUCUUUAUGGAAUGUGUCUCCUGUGCCAAGCACUUUUCUGAGCAUCCUGUUAACUCAUUUCAUUCCAACAGCAAACCAAGCUGAGAGGCACUCGAUGGCUCAGGAAUUAUGAAUUUCUACUAAGUAUCAGGCACUGUACCAAGUGUUGUGGAUGCCACAGUGAGCAACACAGAGACUUCAUUGCCCUGCUGGAGACCACAUUCUAGUGGGGGCUUUGGCGGAGAUCAUAACCAGUGUAAGAAAACCACACACUCUGCUGAUAGUGGUGAAUGCUAUGGAGAAAGGCAGAGGUGGGAAUAAAGACAGACUGAGGAAGGGAGAGUGACAGAAGUCUAAGAAGUAGUUACUAUUAUUUUCACCAUUUUACAGGUGAGGAAAAGCUAAACAUCAAUGAAUUCUCUGAAAACUGUCCAUUAAAUGCUUUAAAUUAAAUAUUGGGCGAUUCUGGGGAGCUGUCUUGCUACAGAAUCGGAGGUAGAGUCUGUUCUUAACUUUAAGUGGAUUAAAAAUGUUUUGGUAAAGAGAAACACUCCUUAUUGUCUGUACUGAUCCUUGACAUAUAAGGCAAGACAGCAGGUGUGGCGCCCUGCCCUCUCGCUUUCCAGAGCAGUGGGGCUUUCAGCACCACACCCCUCUGAGUCCAGCAGUUGGUAUGCGUGUGUGCGUGUGUGUGUGCGUGUUUCCAGAUGGGGGAAGAGGACUGGAGUUGGUGGAGGGUAGGGUCAGAGGGAGAGCCUGUGCAGGGGGAUCUUCAUUUUCAGAAAGCUCCCAGAUGAUUCUGCAGUGGCUGGCCCAGGCCACAGGAAGAACAGCCACCACUCACUGAACAUCCACUGCGGGCCAGCCCUUUGAUAUGGUGGCAGAAUGAAUGGCGCCCUGAGAGCAGCUGGGAGGAAACUUAGGGGGCUGUCACUGGGCGGCAGGGAAGGUCUGGCUUUGCUGAGUUGGAUGGAGAAGCCAAAAACAGGGGUGGAGUAUCCAGGGAUUCAGAGGGAGGGGGCAGAAGGGGCACAGACAUGGCAAAGGAGUGGGAAGAAGACUUAAGUGAGGGAGGGUUAUAUAGUAGGAACAUUUCAGUAGACUUUGCUGUCAUAGUCCAACUCUCCAUCCUGUUCCUAAUCCACAAUAAAAUCUACAUUACUCACCAAAGCUUGGGAGAUUUUUUUCAACUUUACUUAUAGAGUAUUUCAAAUAUAUACAA